GACGAACGCUGGCGGCGUGCUUAACACAUGCAAGUCGAACGGAAAGGCCCUGCUUUUGUGGGGUGCUCGAGUGGCGAACGGGUGAGUAACACGUGAGUAACCUGCCCUUGACUUUGGGAUAACUUCAGGAAACUGGGGCUAAUACCGGAUAGGAGCUCCUGCUGCAUGGGGGGGGUUGGAAAGUUUCGGCGGUUGGGGAUGGACUCGCGGCUUAUCAGCUUGUUGGUGGGGUAGUGGCUUACCAAGGCUUUGACGGGUAGCCGGCCUGGGAGGGUGACCGGCCCCAUUGGGACUGAGAUACGGCCCAGCCUCCUACGGGAGGCAGCAGUGGGGAAUAUUGCACAGUGGGCGGGAGCCUGAUGCAGCAACGCCGCGUGCGGGAUGACGGCCUUCGGGUUGUAAACCGCUUUCGCCUGUGACGAAGCGUGAGUGACGGUAAUGGGUAAAGAAGCACCGGCUAACUACGUG
rnacentral:rRNA from 1 species